GCAACUCACGUUCCCCCUACCAUUCAAGGAGUCGUGUGAGGGAGUGCGAGACUUUGUUAUGGCCAUUAUUGGCGGAGGAGCCUCGAAGGGAUAAAGAGUGUCGGUUGAGUGCCGGUGCUUUUUUGCUUUCUUCGUUUCAUCUUUAAGCGCGUUCAAAGAGAACUACGUAUGGAGUCGAGGAGGUCAUCUCAUGUUUGCUUAGUCUUAGCCUCGUAGUGCAGUGGUUGGGGCGAGGAGUACUACAUGCAUCAUCACAAAUAUGGCGAAGGAGAAGCGGCCGGACAAGGAGGGCUCUCCCAGGAGCUAUCUCGCUGCCAUUGCCGGUGGCCGCGGUGACAUUGCCAUCUUUUCUCGUACGCAAGUACUUCAGUCCUGUGCCAAUUCACAUGGUCGCACGUCCCAACUCGUACCAUGCAUGACAGGCUUUUGGUACCUUGUGGAAUUGACUAUGGCUGGUGAUCUUGGCGCAUUCCGGGGGGGGAGGAGGCAACAAUCCUGAUCUCUGAUCUUGGAUUAAUGGAUUUAUAUGGGCAGGAUCUGAGUCCACUGUACUUCGAUUUCGAUCCCCCGCCUAAUAUGCCCAAGUGCCCACCCAUGCAUUGAGUCAUUUGUACGUUACCUGUCUACACGUCGUCUCCUCUUCUCUUGUGUUCGGUCACAUACGCCUAUUUGCGUCCAAGCUUGCUUGCAAAAAUUAGUCCGCAGAAUUCAUCUCAACCUUCCGCUUGAGCUAAUAGUUUAAUUACAGCCGUACGCGCGUUCGUGGAGUGUGUUUGUUGGUAUUCGCACUGUUAGUAUGCUCUUUAGUUAACACGAAAUCCGGUUCGUGCCCGAAACGCGCGGCUCACCCAUCCCGACCAACAAGAUAACGGCGAACACCGGACGCUCAUAGCACCCGCCUAUAAAGCUGACACGCACACGGUGGACCCCAAUCGACACGCUGGCUCGGCGACAACUGCGGAACAACCGACAUCGCACCCGUCGCGCCGCGCCCUCGUAUUCGUCGCCCAGUGGAGCCCCGUAGCGGUCGCCGGCGUCUGCUGCUCGCAACCACCCCCCCCCCCCCGGGCGAGAAGCUGUCGGAGCGCGGCUCCCUCCUCUUCCUCGGUCUCUCUGAUUGCGGUAUGAUCCGUUCGUCUGCAGAAAGAUUCGAUUUUUACGGGUUUCUUGUUUGUUUGACGGAUUGGUUUGUUUGGGAAAACUUUCGGGUUCUUUGCAGCGAGUAAAUCUUAAUGUGGGUUGAAGGCGGCGAUGGUUCUGUCCGUGUGACGUUCGCGAGCGUUAUGUUCCUCUUCAGUUCCAAUUUGAUGCGCAAGACCUGGGAGGAGCGUUAUGCUCCUUUGUUCUUAUUUUGGCUCUUCAGGUUGCCAUUUUAGAUAAAUAUUGGAUCUUUGUCGAUACUUUGCGGAGAUGAAGAAUACGUUUGUGAGUAGAACAACUUGUGAUGUGAUCGAUGAAGAGCAACAUCGAGGAUUUGGCCUCAUUUCCUGGUUUUGAGCAUUAGGGUGCAGUGAUCAUGAGAGGAGCUAGCAAGACAUGCUGCAUCUACACCAUUCCGCGCUAGAUGUUACUAUAGUUAUUGUCUGGGAUAGAGUUAUAAGAGUUUUUGUUGAUUGACACAUGAACUCAUAACCUAACCCUAAACCCCAAAUCUAAUUCAUAUACUAUUGUCACACCCCAACGAUUUUUUUUUAUAUUUUAAUAUUAAUGUCCCUAUAAUUUACAACCGA
rnacentral:lncRNA from 1 species